AGGGCUUUAUAAAAUAACUCCAUUAAGUUCGUCUCUGAAAUUUGAUGGUUGGGCACCAUACUCAGCUUCUUCUUGAAUCUGAACCAAGCCUUAUACAUGGGCUCAAACUGCAGCUGCCUGAAAUUAUAGAUCUUAUUCUUAAGCUGCAGCAUCCUAGAUAGAGAAAACAACUUAUUCAAGAAUUGUCUACAUAACUCUUUCCAGAUAGUGAUAGACCCUCUUGGUAGUUCCCCA
rnacentral:lncRNA from 1 species